GGGCCCGUGGCCAAAGUGGAUAAGGCUUCUGACUUCGGAUCAGGAGACUGCAGGUUUGAGUCCUGCCGGGCUCG